rnacentral:misc_RNA from 1 species
AACACUGUUAACCUGCGGUACCUGCGGAAGGAUCAUUAUAGUAUAUGGAAUCUCCAUUCUAUAAACCCACUCUGCGUAUCUUGUAACUGUUGCUCCCAUGGGACUUGGUUCCGCCACACCGGCUUCACGGCUGGUGAGCGCCCAUGGAAGGAGAAACAAAACUCUUCUUUGAAAUGUAGUCAGUCUGAACAAGUUUUUAUAAACGUUAAAACUUUUAACAACGGAUCUCAGAUCGGAAGA